CAUUUCCAAACAAUCCCUAGAUUUUAAAUAGUUAAGAAAAACCGUAAUGCAAAUAAAUCCAUGGAAAGCUCCCACAUUAUGUUUGCCUAACCAAGACUCCACAGAGACGCUACACAGGAAAUAAAGAAAUAAGGCCCACAUUCCUCAAAACUGAAUGAGGAAGUGGUGAGUUGGCCCCACUAUAGAGACUCUUAUGUUUGAAAUAUUUUCUCCUUUAUCAAGCUCAUGGGACGAAGGUUUCGUUAAUACACAGAAAUAACCACCAUCCAGUGUAUAACAUAUUUGCCCCUCAUAUUCUCGCAAAUCUAAAUUUCCAUGUUUUUCCACAUAGGCAAGGAAAAGGUAAUGACUAACUCCUGGGCAGUAAAUCAUAUAGACGAUCAGAAAGCAAAUAGGGUGCCUCCCUGUUAGUUUUCUUCAGUUAUCAAACUAUAUAAAAUAUACACCCUUUCUCUGGGGGCCUCUAUUAAACUCAUUCUACUCUAAUGAUUGUACUUUGGCUCCAAUUAACAAAAUCACACAACUUUUCAUUUCUCUGUCCCUCCUCUCCUGUCUCCUCACUUCCCCAGCAUGGGUACUUGAGGGGAUUCCACCCAACUUCCCAUCUGGACCAUCCCAACUCUGUGUAAAAGCUGUUUUAAAAGCUUUGGCUUCCAUCUAACAUUCUGUCAACUGCCCUCCCUACAACAUGACUUCUCUGAUGCUCUCCUGUGCAGUCUGGACACCACUGUCCUUCUGAAGCAGAAACUCAGCUUGUCUCUUAUACGGUCAUGAAAACUCACCAUGACUCAGCAGGGGGCUCUUUACUCACUGUCCACAGUGGACAGAACAGGACUUGCCGAGCCAUCCUGCAUGGAUAUUUGGAAUCCUCAGUGCCUGUAAUCUAUCCCAUGAUGAGCCCUAGGGACCAGGCUUUUUUUCUUUCAUAUCUUACGAUGAAGACAUGUUUACCAAAAGAGGUUUUAGUAAAUAUGUUUUAAAUCUCCAAAUCUUGUAUCCUAUAGUAUUUGUACAUACACAUGAAUUUAAAUAAAGUCUAUGGAGGGUUAGUCAAGAGAGAGCUCUGAGGAAGGGAGCUUUGAUGACCCAGGGCCAUUCGAAAACUAGGAAACAGAUACAGACGGAGUCAGUUUCCACAUAUUUGGUUAAUCCUGAAAAUACAUAAGUGCUAUCUAGUCUUAUUGCUUGUACUUUCUACUAAUUUAUUCAUUUAUAAUCUUGGAUGGGAUAAGGUGGAGGGGAGAUGAGGAAGCUGACUUUGAAAUCAAUGGAAAUGAGUGGUGAGGAUUUUUAAUUUUAUACUUCCAUUGUAGGAAUAGUGUUUUUAUACAUUAAUGUUCAGGCUUAGUUCCAUCUUUUUCAUUAAGAUAGGUUUGUACUUUAUCCUUCAUAAACUCUCUAUCUGCACUUCUGUGCCGCAUGAUUUUUUCAUUUCCUCAAUCCUAUUAUAGGAGAGAAGCAAUUAAACCUGAUUUGGACAGACACUUGAGUUAUAUUUUAAAAAUAUCAUUCGCAUAACAGUGAUGUUUAAAACACACACUAGGAAAUAAGCAGUGGAUCAUGAAUAAAUACAAAAACAAAACCUCUUUCCUGAAAACCAAAAAGAAAAGGCAAAGAAAGGAAAAAAAAAAAAAAAAA
rnacentral:lncRNA from 1 species